rnacentral:rRNA from 1 species
UAGGGAAUAUUAGUAAUGGGCGAAAGCCUGAACUAGCAACGCCGCGUGUGCGAAGAAGGCCUUCGGGUUGUAAAGCACUUUUUGAGAGGAUGAGGAAGGACGGUACUCUCAGAAUAAGUCUCGGCUAACUACGUGCCAGCAGCCGCGGUAACACGUAGGAGGCAAACGUUAUCCGGAUUUACUAGGCGUAAAGCGCGUGUAGGUGGUUUGGUAAGUAGGGCGUGAAAGCUCCUGGCUCAACUGGGAGAGGCCGUUCUAAACUGCCGAACUAGAGGAUGGUAGAGGGAGGUGGAAUUCCGGGUGUAGCGGUGGAAUGCGCAGAUAUCCGGAGGAACACCAGAGGCGAAAGCGGCCUCCUGGACCAUUCCUGACACUCAGACGCGAAAGCUAGGGUAGCAAACGG